UUUAGAAGUGGCACAGAAUCGGAAAUGGCGACUGUUUAUUAAAACACAGGACAAUGCUAAAUAGAAAUAUGAUGUAUAUUGUCUGACUCCUGCCCAGUGCUUGAAAGUAAAAUGAAUAUUUUAAAAGGUAUUUGUAUAAGCUCAAGUAAACGGCGGCUGUAACCUUGACGGUCUUAAGGUAGCGAAAUCCCUAGUCAAUUAAUUGUUGACGUGCAUGAAUGGAGUAACACUGUUUUACUGUCUCGGGCUUUUGUACUGUGAAUUCAUAAUUGUCGUGAAGAUACGACAUUCCUAUAGUGGGACGGAAAGACCCUAUGCAGCUUUACUAUAAUUUUAGAGUGUUUGAAAUUCUUUAAGUAUGUAGGAUAGGUAUAAGCUUAUAAUUUCUUAACGGCAAGUUAAUAGA
rnacentral:rRNA from 1 species